AAAGUGCAUUUUUUUAAUACAUUUAGUAGAAUACAGAAGAGUAACAAUGAAAAUUGCUUCGAUAUUUUUGGUUGCUUUUCUCUGCACUUUUCAAACAAGUGCAGUGGAAUUGAAGCCUUCCAAUACCGACAUUAUAAGUGGAGUAAUUGAUGAUGUAGCCGAUAUAGCAAACGGUGUUGUAUGUCUUGUAGAUGAAGUGACUGGAAUUUUGUUACCAAAUCAGGACAGUUCGUGUUAUAAUGACGAAAAUACCAACGAUGAUUGCGGUGAUGAGUCUCCAUCCUCUACAGCACCAUGAAUUUUGCAUACAUUUUUGUUUAACCAAAAUGUAUUGCUUUUUAAAGAAUAAAAUUAAUUAAAUAAUCAUGUAUUAAAUUGUAAAAGCAACCCACAAUAUAGUAACGUUAAUAAAAUCUAAAAUUAAAUUAUUAUCAUUACUCUCGCUAAUCUUUUUCCAGAAGUUCAAUACAGUUGUUUUGUCUGAAAUUACUUUUUCCUCUGUCUGAAUGUCAUAUUUUAAUGGGUUUUAAAACUAUAACAUAUGUUCCGACCUUCAUGUACGGGAAAAUGAUAAUAAGGAAAAAAUAAACAUUUCUUUUUUUUCUAAACAAAUGUGCGCCUAAUUUUCGUUAAAAAACAUGAUUGCAUUGCUAAGAAUUUUAACAAUUUAUGUUUGUUUUGUGUUAUUUUGUAAUAUUAUCAGUUGUGACGAAGAUGCAAUGUUAUAUUCCGAUGAAUUUAGAAAAAUGCAAGCUGACACGACCACCAUCAAAGUUGUUUUGGUGGAGAAAUCGUUAGUUCGUGUUCCUUGCCAAGCACCCUUUAAGUUGGUUAACAGGAAGUGUAGAUAUGUUUGGUGAUUAGUGUGCACUAUUUAAUAGUUUGAACUUUGUUCCGCGUCUUGUUCAUUGUUCUUUUGGUCUUUCCUUGUACCCAUUUAACAUUUUUUAUCUUGUAGCUAUUCUCUGAUAGAACAUAUUGUGUAACGGGGCUAGUGAGGUCACUCAGAUAAUAAUUUUUGAAAGUUUCAGUUCCUACAUGAAAGUAAAAGUAAGUAGACGACGAGAGAUGAGUGUCAAAAUUUUGCUAAGUUUUCUCAGUUUGAUUGUUUGUGGCUCUUGCCAGUAUCGAUACUAUUCAUAUCAGUACCCUUACUAUGGCAAUUACGGAUACAGCAAUGUAAGAAAUGGACCUUAUUCUUAUCAACCUUCGCCGUGUAGAUCAUCCUGCGGUAACGUGCAACCGGUUAACAAUUGUCAAUACUUUCCCUGUUAUCAGCAACGGUCUUACAACAGCUACAACUUGCCCUACCCUUACUACCAAACCAGUAAUAACAAUUACAAAACAGUCAACCGUAAUUCAAAUUCGCCAGAACCUUACGGAAGAUUUUAUCAGAACUUGUACAAUUACCAACAACCUAGCCAACAAGAUCCUUACGCAAAUGUCCCGACGGAGAUAAUAGACGACGACGAGUUUGAAAAGUUUAUGCAAAAAAUUCCCAAACUACCAAAAGCGACAACCUCAUCUCACAGUAACUACACAGUGAGCCAAGGUGCUGCGACUAGCAAUUCUGUUGUGGAGACCAAACCUAUAAGGGCCACAAUAAACAGAAGUCUUGACCCUUCCGUACAAAAUACACCCAUCCGGCUUGAUUUCUUAAAUGGAGAACCCAUCAACGCUGACCAAAACAACGAAGCAACUACCACUGAAGAAACAGAAGUAACGGAAGUGGUCGAAACAACAACCAUUCCUGCAACUACCACCGAAGAAACCGAGGAUGUGGCACCUGUCAAAAACUGGUUUUCUUAGAAAUAGUUUGUAAUUUUGUAUCGUUUAAUAAAUACGUUUUUUAUGUCCACAAUCUCAAAUUAUUAUUUUGGUGAUCUCUGACGACCUUUAUAUAUCUUGAAUCGAUAUAAAUACAUAAGUGCAAUUUUGUUCAAGUCAAGUUAGUUGAAUUCAUCGUGCAAUAAAAAUGAAAAUUGUAUUGCUUUUCGUAGCAACUUUUUUGUUGUGUUGUUCAGAAUGUAAACCAGACGUAAAGACGGUAUUCGAUACUUCAAAUUCUUGUCCAAAUGGGAAGUUAUUGGCCCAUAACGGGGAAUGCAUCACGCCAUUUAUGUUGAAGAUGACCAUUCCAGAUGCGGUGGUCAAUGCAUUGUCUACCACAGAAGCAACUUUCGGAGAUUCUAGCAAUGGCCAAGCGAAAAAAACACCAGCAUUACCGAAAAUUAAGGGAUAACCAAGUGGAGGAAUUCAGUCUUGAGGUCGAUGUAAUAACCUAAUAACACCAAUAAGCGCUUGGCAUGUACAAAAUAAUUAGCUUUUAUUGUAAUUUUUUUAAUAAAACUACAAAACUUACAGAUUGUUAUGUCUUUUUCCACAAACACAUAUUCCAUGUUUUUCAUAUCAGUUUAUUUAGACAGUAGGUAUUUAGGGUAGAUAGAGUUUCUGAUAAAAUGACUACAAUGGAUUAAAAUUAUUAAUGAGUGAAUCAUAGAAGAGUUAGGCAUUAGCUGAGUAUCAUACGUUUUUUUUAUUGGGAGAAAGAAGAUGAGGUUUUUGGGGUUGCGUGGUUUAUUUAUUUUAAUUACAUUGUGUUUUUGUAAGUCAUUUGGUGAAUGGCUGAGUUUCAAAGAAUAUUUCAGUUUUUACGAAAAAGUUAUGAAUGCCAAUGUAAUUCGUCCGAGGGCAAAUUGUGAAUCUGGAACUAUACAAAUAAUUCCGGGGGACUGCAGAACUGUUUAUAAGUAAUUUCCGGAACAUUUUUGUGUAGGGAAGAGUUGGAACUGAAGACUAUCACUCUCGAAGUAAAUUUUGUAUACGUUGGUACCAUGUUUUUUUUCUUUUAUCGUAAAUAAACUAUGUUGUAAGUUUGGUUGCAGAGUUUCUAGGAGUACUUACCCAUAAUUUCUAAAGCUGCACCUUAUCUUUUUAAUAAGUUGAUAUGAAUGUUUAUUAAACAUAGCCUUUUUACUGUACUUACGUUCUUCAUAGUAUCAAAGAGAUCAAAGAAUUUUGGGUCUCCUUUUUGGUGUUAUCUACAAUAACCAUGAAAUUUGGACUUCCGUUUUAAAAAUACAUAAUUUGGAGUGAACUAAAGUUUAGAAUAAUAUCACAUAUGCAUUUUCUCCCAGAUCUGUGUUUUUGAAAGUUUUUGUUUUAGUCUAUACAUUUUUUAAAUUAGGAGCUUAUUUACAAUUGUCUCGAAAUUAAUUUUGUCAAAUCCAAAAAAGUUAAUUAUGAUUGUAAUAAGUUGUAUUUAAUAAAACAUUACUGGUAGAAAUUUAUUUUUUACAAAUGUACCCUAAUUUUAUUAAAUUUUUAUUAUUUAUUGCUUUAUUUUUGUACUUGGAAUAAAUCCACUCUUAAAAAUAUUUGUUCAAUAAAAAUUAAAAAAAUGUUAAACAAGUGUUUUUAUUUCUACAUACGAAGUGACAGGAAUUGUGGUAUAUUAUUUAAACUUUUUGUUUUUAAUUAUUGUAAUAUUUUUAUGACAAAUAGUUGUAAGCGUUAGUUUUAGUGUAUUUACUAAUUAUCUUUUAUAAUGUUUGUUUAACAUCUUCAGUGCAUGUUUUAAUUAUUAUAAAUAAAGUUUUCUUUGAUUUUAUAUCUAGUUCUUAUUUAUUUUAAUCUAUUGGAAUACAUACCCAAAAAUAUCUAAGACCCAAUUUUGCAAAAAUAGUAUUUUUUUGUUUAUUUUUAUUUUUUUUGUAAUUUUAAUAAAUGUUUUUGUUAUUGUGCCAGUGCGUAUAAAUUUAAUGAUGACGCCGAUGUCACUGUCCUCUUUUUUAUCCACCGACCCAUAACAAUUUUGCAUAAGACAGAAUUUCAACAGUUUUAUCAAUAUUUCGCAAUUGGUCGCAGAUAAAUAACGUACAGACGUAUGUACUUGAUGCAGAUUCGAUUUACGAACAAUACGUGAACAAUACAGAUAGGAAGAAGUUUAAGCCAAAUUUGAGAAUUUUUUUUUGAACUUAGACUAGAUUUAUCGUAAAUACCAACCGGUGAAUUUACAGGAAUCAGCUUGGUGUUUGACGAGUGUAAAUUUUUGUGGAAGAGUUUGUUGAAAGAGAGGCGUAGAAAUUUGUGAUAAAUAACAACAAAUCGGCGAUAAGAAUGACGGCAUCGCCUCCAAUAAGUCUGCUUUUCUUAGUAAUAAUAAAAUUUAUCAAUGAAUCUGGCACGGAAUGACAAAUCAUUUUCGUCGUCUUAUAAGUUAUGCUGAACGGUUUUCAAAUAUCAGACGAAGUGACUUCGGAUAGAUUGAUGUAGCUUUGAACUUGUGACCUUAAGAUAAUUCACUAUCAAUUUAAUUGAGAAUGUACCACUACAACUUAUUCCUUUUGUUUGAACGCUAAAGUGAAGCUGUAAAUAUGGAUAGAUUUUUCAUCGUUUUAUCAAUAUUUAUUUUGUUCAAUAUUUGUUUGUUACUCGCUGUGCCAGUGGAACAACAAAGCAAUUCAACACAAAUCAAGACGAUUUCAGCUAUUAACCAAUCGUCAAAUGACACUGUGUGCUUGUACGGCUUCGAGUACGUCAACGGCACGUGCAGAGAGAUAUUUCGAAAAUGAUUGAUAUUUAGCAACGCUAGCGGAAUGCUCGGAGCACUUGUGUAUAUACCUAAAUGAACAUGUAUUCCGUCUUAUUUAUUAAUUUAUUUAUUCUAUUUUGUGUUAUGUAAGUUUAAUUACAUAAUGUGUGUGUUGUCAGCUUGUGUUAAAGUUGUAGGUACGAUAGUCUAAGCAGUGUAUUAUUUUUGUUAUAUCUUUUGGUAUGUCAAUGUAAAAGUAAAAUUUAUAUUAAAUAAAUUCUUAAAGUGAUGAAUCAGCCUAUUUAUGCCUUCCAGACGCUUAGAUUUUAGUCAGUGAUGGAAAAGUACAAGUCUUUUAUUAAACACUUGAUGUGUUAAUAUGCACCGGACAAGUCCUGUCAGACCCGCAACUGCAAAUUGCUUCCUCUUAACUUAAUCGUUUUUGAUUCACUGUGACAAUUUUUGAAUAAAAUAUCUAGAACUUUCCAGCUGCAAAAAUUAAAAAUUAACUGAUGUGGUUAUUUUUGUAUUAAAUUUUAAAGCGCACAUUUUAUAGUCUGUUGCUAAUUAAAAUCAAAACACUAUUACAGCUUAUAAUAGAGUUGGAGAUUAACUCACAAAAUAUUUAAUUGCAAUUAAAUUUUAAUUCUUAGUUGAUUAAAGAUUUGGAAACGAAUUUGUACAUAAAUUCUGAAGUUUAUUUUUUAUUUUUUUAGUGCAGUAUUUAUUAACUAAGUAGAAAUGCUAACGAAAGACUUAUUUGCUGUGUUUGUUAUCCAAAGAUAAUUUUUGAAAAAAUUGUAAGCUACUUUGAGGAAAUUUAGGAGAAUAGUAUCUGAAGAUGAUAAGUUACAAUGUAGCUCUUAUUGCUUUGAACUUUUGGAGUGAUUCACAGCACGUAAUACUUUAGAACAAAAUUGGAGAUGACGAAGUUAUCAUAGCUUUAUCAAGAAUUCAAGGUUCUCCAAAUGAGUUAACCUUUGCGGUUUAAUUUCCGUAAAAAUUCCAAACACUCGGUGCAUAUUUUUUCAAAUUACGCACUGCAGUUUGUUCUGAAGUGCGAUAAAGUCGUAAUUACAAAAUUUUCCAAUGAGAUGUUUACCGCCGUACCUUCUUAACGAUACAUUGACACAACAUCAUUAGCAUUGUUUACAAAUCGUUAGUCUUUAACAAUUUCGAAAAAUGAACUUCUUGCAAGUGAUAAUUAUUUCCGUGUAGGAAACAGCGGUUUUACGAGAUUAACGCUCUAUAAUUUGUACUUAAUUCAAUUAUUACAUUAAUUCAGGAACACGAACCGCAUUGAUUUUAUGUUCCUGUUUCAACCAGAUAAGAAGUUUUUAAAUAAUUAGUCCCUGAAAAGUCGUUAAUAUUAUUGAGUUCGCUAUGAUGAAACUCGUCCUUUUGCUGGUUUUUCUCACAGUGGUGAUGGCUUUGCCUGUGGCUUAUGUGCCUCGAUUUUCUGCUUGUCCUCCCGGACAAGUCCUGGUUUAUCCUGGAGUGUGCCGAGAGGUGGAUUAUUUUUACGAUGAUUACGAAGAUUAAGCUCUGGUUCUUUUCUCCACUUCUUUUGAAGCAAUUAGAUUAGCCCAGAGUUUUGUAAUUACUAUUCUGUACUUAAAUUGAAAUAAAAGUGUGUCUUUGCAAUGCC